AUUGAACGCUGGCGGAAUGCUUUACACAUGCAAGUCGAACGGCAGCACGGGGGCAACCCUGGUGGCGAGUGGCGAACGGGUGAGUAAUACAUCGGAACGUGCCCAGUCGUGGGGGAUAACGUAGCGAAAGUUACGCUAAUACCGCAUACGAUCUACGGAUGAAAGCGGGGGACCGUAAGGCCUCGCGCGAUUGGAGCGGCCGAUGUCAGAUUAGGCAGUUGGUGAGGUAAAGGCUCACCAAGCCGACGAUCUGUAGCCGGUCUGGGAGGCCGGACAGCCACACGGGGAGUGAGCGACGGCCCAGACUGCUGCGGGAGGCUGCAGUGAGGGAUUUUGGACAAUGGGCGAAAGCCUGAUCCAUCCAUUCCGGGUGCAGGACGAAGGGAUUAGGGUUGUAAACUGCUUUUGUACGGAACUAAAAGGCUCUGGUUAAUACCUGGGGCUCAUGACGGUACCGUAAGAAUAAGCACCGGCUAACUACGAGCCAGCGGCCGCCGUAA
rnacentral:rRNA from 1 species